GAUGAACGCUGGCGGCGUGCCUAAUACAUGCAAGUCGAGCGAACAGACGAGGAGCUUGCUCCUCUGACGUUAGCGUCGGACGGGUGAGUAACACGUGGAUAACCUACCUAUAAGACUGGGAUAACUUCGGGAAACCGGAGCUAAUACCGGAUAAUAUAUUGAACCGCAUGGUUCAAUAGUGAAAGACGGUUUUGCUGUCACUUAUAGAUUGAUCCGCGCCGCAUUAGCUAGUUGGUAAGGUAACGGCUUACCAAGGCGACGAUGCGUAGCCGACCUGAGAGGGUGAGCGGCCACACUGGAACUGAGACACGGUCCAGGCUCAGACGGGAGGCAGCAGUAGGGGAGCUGCAGAAAGGGGAGAAAGCCGGACGGAGCAACGCCGCGGGAGUGAUGAAGGUCUUCGGAUCGGAAAAGUCUGUUAUUAGGGAACAACAAAUAUGUAAGUAACUAGGCACGUCGUGACGGUAGCUAAUCAGAAAGCCACGGCUAACUACGUG
rnacentral:rRNA from 1 species